rnacentral:rRNA from 1 species
UCUAUCAUCAACGCAUUGGCUCUUGAUCUCAUUAGAAUUAUAAGUUAAGCUUGCUCACGUGAGAGUAUUACCUGGAUGGGUGACCUCCUUGGAAGUCUCCAUAGGAC